CGUAUAAAAUAUAAAUAUUUGUGUAAAAUUAAUAUAGGCAGUAAAGUUGUUAAAAAGGGAUACAUUUAUUACUCAAAUAAGUUAGACAGCAUGACAGUAAAACCAAACCAUAACAGUGAAACAGAAGAUUAUGAGUAUUAGCCACGAUAUAACUCAUGAAGGAGGGAGAACCUAGAGAACGAACCUAUGGAACGAGAGACGAAGUUGGUCAUAAAUAGAACAGGAGCGAUGAGAUAUUGGGCAGAUUCUCCGGUCGCUGCUUGCUCCUCAUACCCACCCAGAAACUCUGCCGUGUGUCUGCU